rnacentral:rRNA from 1 species
AGAGUUUGAUCCUGGCUCAGGACGAACGCUGGCGGCGUGCUUAACACAUGCAAGUCGAACGGAGAAUGAAAGCUUGCUUUCAUUCUUAGUGGCGGACGGGUGAGUAACACGUGGGCAACCUGCCCUAUGAUGGGGGAUAACAGAGAGAAAUUUCUGCUAAUACCGCAUAAAGCUAUAGCUUCGCAUGAAGUCUUAGCCAA